CCUACGGGCGGCAGCAGUGAGGAAUAUUGGUCAAUGGGCGAGAGCCUGAACCAGCCAAGUCGCGUGAAGGAUGACGGCCCUACGGGUUGUAAACUUCUUUUGUCAGGGAGCAAUUGGGUCCACGCGUGGGCUUAGCGAGAGUACCUGAAGAAAAAGCAUCGGCUAACUCCGUGCCAGCAGCCGCGGUAAUACGGAGGAUGCGAGCGUUAUCCGGAUUUAUUGGGUGUAAAGGGAGCGCAGACGGCAGUGCAAGUCUGGAGUGAAAGCCCGGGGCCCAACCCCGGAACUGCUCUGGAAACUGUGCGGCUAGAGUACUGGAGGGGCAGGCGGAAUUCCUAGUGUAGCGGUGAAAUGCGUAGAUAUUAGGAGGAACACCAGUGGCGAAGGCGGCCUGCUGGACAGUAACUGACGUUGAGGCUCGAAAGCGUGGGGAGCAAACAGGAUUAGAUACCCCAGUAGUC
rnacentral:rRNA from 1 species